rnacentral:snRNA from 1 species
GAAUGUGAAGGUGAUCUGGCUGUGACAUCUGUCACCUGGUGCAUCGUUGGAUCUCUAGGGUCGAUUCAGCUGAUCUGGUUGGCUAGGAGGAUGUCCUCUUCCACCCCUUGGUAUUCUCUGUGUUGGUGUGUGUUUUUCCAAAGCUACGUGUUCAUUGGAAGAGAUGACCUUUCCCCGUAAGGAGGACUAUUCUUCGGUUAAGGGUAUACAAGCAGCUGUGCUCCUGCUAGAACCUCAGAACAAGCUCUCAAGAAGAGGGGAAAGGAGACAUGUACACAGAGGCAUGCUUCCUGU